GCACUAAUCCUCCCAGGGGAACCUGGCCCUUAAUUCGAUUAUCCACGAACCUCUUACCUUUUCUAGUUUUACCUCCGCCGCAAGGCCAGGUAAAGUCCAGCUCGCAUACCGCCGUUUCACAGCCUGUGUCGUGAGAGCACAGAAAUAGGCACCCUAGCAGCUUUUACGAAGAGCUUUGCUAACAAUUCAGGUAAACGUGUGGCCUAUGAAGAGGGGGAGCUGGGUUACAGUUGAAGCUUGAAAUGAAACUACUACCUAAAGGGGUAGAGUGAAAGAGGACUUGGAAGUAACUUCUUUGGACAAAGAAGCAGUGAAUAGUGCUCUAGUGUGUGU
rnacentral:rRNA from 1 species